CAGUCUUUAACAUUUGUUGGAAAUCAGGAUUUUGCAGAAGGGAUACAUUAAGGCGCCAACUAUAUGAUUUCUUUUUCUCUAUAUGUGGCAUCACCUCUAAACUCACCAGAGCAUGAUCUGAAACUAAGAUAUUUCCAAUUGAGCAAUCAACAACAGAUGAAAUGAGGGAUUUGGAUAUAAAAAAAAAAAUCUAUUCUAGGAUAAAUCUUAUGGACUGAUGAAAAAAAUGUAUAGUCCCUACCAGAUGGGUUCAAAAGUCUCCAAAUAUCCGAAAGACCAAGAUUUUUACACAUCCUGUGAAGCAUCAAUGUAGCUCUAGGGGGUUUACACACUUUUGCAUCACUGUGAUCAUGGACUGAGUCAAUCAAAAGAUUAAAGUGUCCUCCCAAUAUUAUAUCAUGAGGGGUGCCAGUGGCUUGCAACAUCCCUUCAAGAUCUAUAAAAAAGCCCUGAUCAACAGCGUUAGGUGCGUAAAUAUUAGCCAAAGUCAACCUUUGCCCUUGAAUUUCAGCUAAAACAAUAAUUACUCUUCCUAAUUUAUCUUUAGUCUGUUUGAGACAUUUGAAUUGUAGAAGUUUAUUUACCAAUAUAAUGACUCCCUUGCUCUUAAUUGAGCCAGCACAGAAAAAAAAAAAGUCCACCCCAUAUCUUCCCAAAUUUUUCAGCUUCCUGCAGGGAGAGAUGUGUUUCUUGAAGAAACACUAUAUCAUAUUUCUUACGUUUAAGAAAAGUAAUAACCUUCCUUCUUUUUAUGGGGUGACCCAACCCAUUUACAUUCCAUGUGGAGAGAGAUAGUACACUCAUAUUAACAACUGACAUAUUGAUAUAGUAGAAAAAAUCAGUUGUGUGUCAAAAACAAAAUUAUACAGACCACAUUCCCCAUUAGUGAAACAAUCAAACCCCGAACAUCUCCCCGAACAAAACAAACAGAAAAAAGAAAAACGUGCGCAUUAACCCCACGCACGACAGCGCCAACCGGCGACAGUCCCUCUAAACUCAAAAGGUCCAUGAACGCCCACGAGUCCCCACGACAACUUUGCCAUCGGAUUGCUCAAUUUUGCCUCACAAAUUUGUGAAGCAAAAUUACAUAACAGAAAAUACUUUGUAAAAUAAACCCAGUUAAUAGGAAGAAUGAACACAAAGAACGUGUAGAUUCAUUCACAGAACUGUCUCAAAGGUGUGAUCUUCCACAAAACAAAUUCCAGCUGAUAUAAAACCAUUCAGAUUCCUCUGACAGACAAACAAAUGUUCAGUGAGCCAGCUGUUAUGAGUUCAGCGGAUGACGUAAUCAUUCCAAUGUCCCGUAAAAAAAACUAAAAGCAAACUACAGCCAGCAGGAGGAAUAAGCACGAAGAACGAACAGAUUAAUUCACAGCUGUUACAAAGGACUGUUAUUCAAUAGAACAAGCUCCAGCCGCUAGGCGGAACCAACACAAAAAGAAACAAAACCCCGGAUGGUCAGGUCAAUUCACUUGGAGGCCGUAUAAAAAUAUAUACUAUGACUUACACAAUCCGUCAGCUUUAUAAAAGACAUCCUUUGUGUGGAGCAUGUAGAUAUUUUGCGGUCAUCCGUAGUGUCCACUCUCAAACUGGCAGGGAACAUCAAUGCAAAAGUUUAUUUAAGGAAAAGUGUAAUUCACAAAACAAGCUCCGGCCACUCGGCAGAGCCAACGCAAAAAACCCAAAAUGUCGCCCAGCUUCCUCAAGAGUAAGUACAGCGAGUUGACCCACUCACAUGAGAAACAUCCAACGGUUUACUCAGUCAUUGAUUCUAUAAAAGACAUUGCCAGAUUUGGACAUGUAAAUACUUUGCCACCGACCUUCGUUUCUAUUCUCAGUUUGGCCGGAAACAUCAGAGCAAACGAGAUCUUUUUCUGAUGUAAGAGUUUCUUAUAUUCCUUGAACAGAUCGCGUUUCUCUCUUCGCAAAGUCCGGGAACAAGAAAAUAUUACGGUUCUUCCAAGAAAGCUUCCCUUUGCUCCUCGCCUGGCGCAACACAAGAUUUUUAUCGGAUGAUCUCAGAAAUCUGGCCAGAAUCGAUCGGGGCCUUUCUCCCUCAGCAGAUCUGUGAGCUAGGACUCUGUGAGCUCGCUCGAUUUCCAACUUGUGGCCUGUUAUGUCGAGCAGACUCGGGAAAAGCUCAUCUAGGAAUUUCACCAUAUCUCUGCCCUCCUCAUGCUCAGGAAUUCCAACAAUUCGAACGUUAUUCCUGCGGCUUCUAUUCUCAAGAUCUUCAAGAUUUUCAAGGAGAUGUUCCAAAUCAACUUUGGUCGCUGGCGGAUUAGCGGUUAAUUCCCUCUCUGAAGAUUCCAGAAAAUUGAUUAGUCUCUCAACAUCAGUCACUCUUGUAACUAGUUCAGAUAUUUUUAUUUCCAUCGCCGUAAUCGAUCGAUGUAUUACAGCGAGAUCCUCCAAGUCAGCAAGAACCUUCGUCAACAUCACCGACAUGUUGGACAACUGACGCUGGAUCUCCUCUCCCGCCGCGCCAUCCAAAUCGAGUCCCCGGUCUGUAGGCCUGUCGGGGCUUUCAUCCUGAACACAUGAAACCGUUCCAAAGACAUCAACACUGAACAGCCUGAAAGACUUUUCAAGAAACACCCAACAACUGCAAACUUUACCAGAUUCAAAAUUUGCCGGGCAAAGAAUCAGAGUUGGAGACAAUUAAUAUCAAGCCUAAUGUCUCAUACACCUAUGAAGAGGAUCUGGAUGAUGAUUUGCAAGAUGAAGGGUCUGGUCUUCGCUACCACACAGUGAUUAUGAAGCCAGUCCCAAAGCAAUUCACCAGUAAAUACUGUGAAUAUUCCUGUCAUCUUUGAAUUGAAGAAGCGUUUCCAGAAGUGCAGGACAAACUUCAAGUGUGUCAAUAAUUUCUGACAUACUAUUGUAAAGAUGGAUUUUAUUAAAGAGGAGAGAGAGGACAUGGGUUAUCCAGAACCAUACAGAGUGAAAAAUGAAGAUACUGAGGAACAAAUAGGCCUGAUGGAAGCGAAAGUGGAAAGUCAAGAACUGAAUGAAGUGGAAGAGAAACAUUGGUAUCAGGAUCCUCAUUCAUUCACAAAAAUGAAAAAAUCAUUUAGUUGUUCACAGACUGAAAAUAAUUCCUCACAACAAACAACUCAACGGACAGAAGCCACACAUUCUUUCACCUGCCCUCAGUGUGGAAAACGUUUCACACGUAGAACAACUCUGAAGGAACACAUAAGAAUACACAUUGGAGAGAAUCCUAUCAUAUGCCUUCAGUGUGGAAAGAGUUUCUCACGGAAAGAAAACCUUAAUAGGCACAUGAGAAUUCACUCUGGAGAGAAGCCUUACACAUGUCCUCAGUGUGGAAAGAGUUUCUUACGGAAAGAGAACCUUAAUAGUCACAUGAGAGUUCACACUGGAGAGAGACCUUUCACUUGCAAUCUGUGUGAACAGAGAUUCAAAUAUGUAAAUAAUCAUGAAUGUCAUCUUCACUUUCAGCACACUGGAGGAGCAAAGUCGUUAAACUGUGAUCAGUGUGAUAAAAGUUUCAUCUUUGAAUCAGACCUGAAAAUUCACAAGAACCCCCAUUUGUGUUCUUUUUGUGGAGAGAGUUUUUCAUGCCCGCACCAUUUCAAAGAGCACCAGAAAAUUCAUAGUAUGAAAGCUCAUGUGUGCCUUGAGUGUGGCGAUGCCUUUGCCGGAGCCGGUAACUUGAAGAUGCACCAAAGAGUCCAUAUUAAAGAAAAACCUAACAACUGUUCAUAAUGUGUAUAGAGUUCACUCAUUUAGAAGCCUUGAAAACAAAUGGAGAGAAUUCAUACCACCAGCCUUCAUGUGGGAAGAGUUUCACCACAUCAAGUACCCAACUGACUCAUUUAAAAAAAAGUGUUGUUGAAAAAUAUCACAGUGAACUCUUCUUCAGGUUCAUCUUUAGGUCCAAUGCUUUAAGCAGUGUCAAUUUCAGGUAAACCUAAAGAGGAAUGAAAUUGCUCCUUUGGUAGAAAUUCUAAGUUUAUAGUAAUGCAUUUCUUCUAUAGUGAAUGUAAUUUGUUGUGCAUGGAAAAACCAUCCAUUUUUUUAAUCUUUUGGGAGGCACCAAUAAGUGUAACUGUAUUAUCAAAUAAGUAAACUGCACUUAAAAGUCAUUACCCCUUCUUAAUUGAAUUUAAGUUUUUACGCGAAAUUGAAUGUCUUUCUAUUAGAUUGUCAUUUAGUUGGAUUAGGACAAAUUAAUGCACUAGCAGUUUUAACACAACUUCAUUAGGUUCAUCAGACUUUUAUCCAAAAUAUACACUGAGCCAAAACAUUAUGACCACCUGCCUAACAUGCUGUUGGUCCUCUGCGUGCCGCCAAAACAUCACUGACCCGCCGAGGCAUGAACUCUACUAGACCCCUGAAGGUGUCCUUGAGGUAUAUGGCACCAAGACAUUAACAGCAGAUCCUUCAAGUCCUGUAAGUUGCAAGGUGGAGCCACCGUGGAUCGGAUUUGUUGGUCCAGCACAUCCCACAGAUGCUUAAUCGGAUUGAGAUCUGGGGAAUUUGUAAGCCAGGGCAACACCUUAAACUCUUCAUCAUGUUCCUCAAACAAUUCCCGAACAAUGUGUGCAGUGUGACAGGGCGCAUUAUCCUGCUGAAAGAGGCCACUGCCAUCAGGGAAUACAAUUGCCAUAAAGGGGCUGCAAUGAUGUUUAGGUAGGUGGCACGUGUCAAAAUGGUGCCCAUGCGAAUGUCCGGACCCAGGGUUUCCCAGCAAAACAUUGCCCAGACCAUCACAUUCCCUCAACUGGCUUGACAUCUUCCCACAGUGAAUCCUGGUUCCAUCACUUCCCCAGGUAAACGUCGCACAUGUUUUUGUUGUGCCCUGUUGCACUAGUGUUAAACAAAAUAAUAAUAAUGUUUCCAUUCCUGUCCAAAAAACUGCAGUUUUCAGAGGAAUUAAAAACUCAAAACAUAUUGGGAAAUUUAAAAAGUCUUUUGUGCCUAUAAAGUGCAUUAUCCGUUAUCUGUUUUGAAUAAGUGCCUUGUUGCAGUAGUGUUACAUAUGAAAAGCAAAAGUGUUUAAGUGUGUAGUUUCAUUUAUAAUCUGAGGCUGUUUAUUCAUUUUAGUAUCGAUACUGUGGUGCCAGGCCUGGUAUUGUACUGAAGCCAAAAAAAAAAGUAUCAAACCAACACUAACUGGGGGCAUACUAGUGAAAGCUAUAUUUUUAUAAUCCGCUCAGAAUUGCCUAAUGAAACAGAGACAUAUUGAUAAAGUUGGUCAUUUAUAAUAAACAAAAUACUAUUUCUCAAAAUCUAAGUGUUAUGAAAUAUUAGUCAUCUAAAUAUUUUGUAAUAAUUAAUAAAUAGUCAAGAUACUAUAUUAGGCUACAUUUAAUAAAUUUUCUCUCCCAAAUCCCACUCUUAAUAUUUUGUGUACAUUGUUUUUUUGUAGUUGUUUUUUUUCACUAUGCAUUGUGUGAUUUAUGAAAUAGGUAGUGUAAAAGGACUUUUAUUCUGAUUCUCUGAACAGCUUUUUUGUUGUGGCAUCAUAUGGCUGCGCUGCAACUGAGUGAUUCAAAGCAACGAGGAGCACUCGUAAAAGAUUAUUUUAAAUUGUCUGUUUUGACGAACAGUCUGUUUUGAUGAUCAAUUAAAGAUCUAAAAUAAAUAUUCCACAUAAUAAAUUUGAUAACUUUAGCUCUAUGUCUGCUACUUUGGUUCAUGAGAUAACAUAUUCGCCCCUUGUAUAAAAAGUUCCGGGUUCUAAUCUGCUUGAAUGGAUCUUUAUAUUUUAAUAAAUAAAGAUUGCAUCCAUACCUCAGUGAAGUGUAUCUUAAGUGGGGACACAUUUGUUUGCUUUAUUUAUUUAUUUAUUUAUUUUUCAACUGCAGCUAGUUUGUUUUUAAACACAAUUUAGUUAAUAAAUUACUAAUAAUAUCAAAUAAUUAAGUCACAAUAACAAUCUUAGAUUUAAAGUAAUGUGUGCCUUGUUAACAUGAACUUCUGUCAAAAUAUUACUUUAUCCAAGAAACAUAGCAAUAUCCAUCCUUCCACAUACUUGACUGUUUGUCUUGUUAUCGGACAGACUUCUGAACGCAAUGUCAGGGUAAAAGGUGUCUGGCCUCCCGAAAAUUGUUAUUCCAGGACCUAACAGUAGCAAGGGAGUGGCUACAGUCUCUGCUACUGCUAGCACUGAACAUGAAUAUGCUAUGGAUACUGACCAUACUGAUAUAAGAAUAGGGUCUUCAUCUGCACAAACAACGCCAACCAAGAUUCCACCUAAGAAAAUGAUAGGUGAUAUAUGCUCCGAGAUUUCCAACACAACUCUCCUGGAAGCUAUAAAUUCCCUAGCUGCCAGAUUUGACACACAUGAUUGAAAACUGGCUAGCAUUGAAAGUAAGAUCAGUGAGAACAGUCUCUUGAUAGUGAAUGUGUCAAAGGCGGUAGAAUUCAACACAGAAGAGAUGAAGGAUUGUCUAGUCAUAAGUAAAACUAAUCGACA